rnacentral:rRNA from 1 species
UCCUACGGGAGGCAGCAGUGGGGAAUAUUGCACAAUGGGCGCAAGCCUGAUGCAGCGACGCCGCGUGAGGGAUGACGGCCUUCGGGUUGUAAACCUCUUUCACCCAUGACGAAGCGCAAGUGACGGUAG